rnacentral:rRNA from 1 species
UACGGAGGGGGCUAGCGUUGUUCGGAAUUACUGGGCGUAAAGCGCACGUAGGCGGCUUUGUAAGUUAGAGGUGAAAGCCCGGAGCUCAACUCCGGAAUUGCCUUUAAGACUGCAUCGCUAGAAUUGUGGAGAGGUAAGUGGAAUUCCGAGUGUAGAGGUGAAAUUCGUAGAUAUCGGGAGGAACACCGGUGGCGAAGGCAGAUCUCUGGGCCGUAACUGACGCUGAGGAGCGAAAGCAUGGGGAGCGAACAGG